AUUAGCUCAGUUAGUUAGAGCAUGGUGCUAAUAACACCAAGGUUAGGGGUUUGAUUCCCACAU
rnacentral:tRNA from 1 species